GAUGAACGCUAGCUACAGGCUUAACACAUGCAAGUCGAGGGACCGGCGCACGGGUGUGUAACACGUAUCCAACCUGCCCUUUACUCGGGGAUAGCCUUUCGAAAGAAAGAUUAAUACCCGAUAUAAAGGAUGGGGAUGCGUUCCAUUAGGUUGUUGGUGAGGUAACGGCAAACCAAGCCUUCGAUGGAUAGGGGUUCUGAGAGGAAGUGCCCCGGCAUGUGAACUGAGGCACGGUCCAAACUCGUACGAGAGGGAGCAGUAAGGAGUAUAGGUCAAUGGGGGCUGGCCUGAACCAGCCAAGUGGCGUGAAAAGGGAAUGGUUUUGUGUCGUCAACUUCUUUUAUAUAAGAAUCGGUAUUAUAUGAAUAAGGAUCGGCUAACUCCGUGCCAGCAGCCGCGGUAAUAC
rnacentral:rRNA from 1 species